rnacentral:rRNA from 1 species
UGAGGAAUAUUGGUCAAUGGGCGCAAGCCUGAACCAGCCAUCCCGCGUGCAGGAUGACGGCCCUAUGGGUUGUAAACUGCUUUUAUACAGGAAGAAAAAUCCCUACGUGUAGGGACUUGCCGGUACUGUAUGAAUAAGCAUCGGCUAACUCCGUGCCAGCAGCCGCGGUAAUACGGAGGAUGCAAGCGUUAUCCGGAUUCAUUGGGUUUAAAGGGUGCGUAGGCGGCUUUUUAAGUCAGUGGUGAAAUCCUGUCGCUCAACGAUAGAAUUGCCAUUGAUACUGAAAAGCUUGAGUUCAGUUGAGGUAAGCGGAAUGUGUAGUGUAGCGGUGAAAUGCUUAGAUAUUACACAGAACACCGAUUGCAAGGCAGCUUACUAAACUGACACUGACGCUAGAUGC